rnacentral:rRNA from 1 species
AUGAGUAUCUUAUGUUGGAACUAUCGCGGUGUAGGCAAACCCACGACAGUUCGAGAGCUUCGCGACAUGGUGAGGCAGUUUGCCCCCUCUAUACUAUGCAUUGUGGAAACUCAAAUAGAGGGUGAUAGAGUUGAAAAGCUUGUUGAUACUUUAGGUUUUAAUAAGAGUUUUGAUAUUAGUAGUUUCAGUAAAAGUGGUGGUAUUGGAGUUUUCUGGAACGAUUCAAUAAAGCUUGAGAUUGUUGGUUACUCCGAGUAUCAUGUCGAUGUUGAGGUCGACUCUUUUAAUUGUACCAAGGCCAGGUUUACUUUCAUCUAUGGAGAAGCUCAUGUCAGUGAGCGGUAUAAAACUUGGAACAUGCUAAGAGGCAUUGCGAGCUCGAGUCAAUUACCAUGGGUUGUCCUAGGUGACUUCAACAAAGUUUUGCAUGCCUAUGAGCAAGACAAAAUGGGAAAUAGAAGCCAAGCCCAGAUGGACACCUUCUGA